AAAAUCUAAAUUCCAAAAUUAGGUGCACAAAAACAGCACAGAAGCUCUAAUUCGUUACAUGAGAAUUAGGAAUAGAGAAAUGCAAAUGUUCACCUUGAGAAUGGAUAACGAAAUGUUUUCGUAAAACAUGCAUUGAGCGCCAACAUUUAAAAAUCCAAUUGAACUGAUUGAAAAGAAGAUUCGUGAACAGUGCCAUAUUCAUCUAUUCAAGGGCAGAGUCUUACGUUGGGCGCCAUUUAUAAAAAAAAAUACUUAAAUUGAAAUAUGGAUAUGCUAUAAAAUGUAGCUCAUCUAUUCAAGGGCAGAGUCUUACGUUGGGCGCCAUUUAUAAAAAAAAUACUUAAUUUGAAAUAUGGAAUUUUUAAAACGUCCAAUUGAACUAGAACUAGGUUCUCUUCAGUUCGUGAAAACGAAAUUCUGACUUUGAAAAGGUGUAAUUUUCAACACCUUUCUUCGGGCCGCCUCUAGGUCGCCUAUUAACACGCCCUUAGGCCGCAACUAAAAAUGCCUAAAAAUAUUUCCUCCAGAUUAUCUACAGAGACGCCCUCAGGUCACCACUAAAAAUUCCUUCAAGGUGGUCUAAAAAAAAUUUCCUCCAGAUCGCCUAUAAUGACUCCCUUCAGGUCCCCUACAAAGACUUCAUUCGGGUUGCCAAGAAAAAUAUUUAUUUUAAAUAUGCAAUUUUAAAUUUCCUCUAGUUUGCCUAAAGGGACAGGGACGCCCUCAGGUCACCACUAAAAAUUCCAUCAA
rnacentral:sRNA from 1 species